rnacentral:rRNA from 1 species
UACGUAGGUGGCAAGCGUUAUCCGGAUUUACUGGGUGUAAAGGGCGUGUAGGCGGGAAAGCAAGUCAGAUGUGAAAACCACGGGCUCAACCUGUGGCCUGCAUUUGAAACUGUUUUUCUUGAGUACUGGAGAGGCAGACGGAAUUCCUAGUGUAGCGGUGAAAUGCGUAGAUAUUAGGAGGAACACCGGUGGCGAAGGCGGCCUGCUGGACAGCGACUGACGUUGAGGCCCGAAAGCGUGGGGAGCAAACAGG